rnacentral:rRNA from 1 species
CGCUAUCAGAUGAGCCUAGGUCGGAUUAGCUAGUUGGUGGGGUAAAGGCCUACCAAGGCGACGAUCCGUAACUGGUCUGAGAGGAUGAUCAGUCACACUGGAACUGAGACACGGUCCAGACUCCUACGGGAGGCAGCAGUGGGGAAUAUUGGACAAUGGGCGAAAGCCUGAUCCAGCCAUGCCGCGUGUGUGAAGAAGGUCUUCGGAUUGUAAAGCACUUUAAGUUGGGAGGAAGGGCAGUAAGUUAAUACCUUGCUGUUUUGACGUUACCAACAGAAUAAGCGCCGGCUAACUUCGUGCCAGCAGCCGCGGUAAUACGAAGGGUGCAAGCGUUAAUCGGAAUUACUGGGCGUAAAGCGCGCGUAGGUGGUUCAGCAAGUUGGAUGUGAAAUCCCCGGACUCAACCUGGGAACUGCAUCCAAAACUACUGAGCUAGAGUACGGUAGAGGGUGGUGGAAUUUCCUGUGUAGCGGUGAAAUGCGUAGAUAUAGGAAGGAACACC